ACUGCUCAGUAACACGUGGAUAACCUGCCCAAGGGUCUGGGAUAACCCCGAGAAACUGGGGAUAAUACCGGAUGGAUCACUAGUGCUGGAAUGCUUGGUGGUCGAAAGGCAACGCCUUUGGAUGGGUCUGCGGCGGAUUAGGUUGACGCCGGUGUAACGUACCGGCGUGCCUGUAAUCCGUACGGGUUGUGGGAGCAAGAGCCCGGAGAUGGAUUCUGAGACACGAAUCCAGGCCCUACGGGGCGCAGCAGGCGCGAAAACUCUACAAUGCAGGCAACUGCGAUAGGGGGACAUCGAGUGGCAUCCACCUUGGGUGCCUGUCCAACCGUCUAAAAAACGGUUGUUAGCAAGGGCCGGGUAAGACCGGUGCCAGCCGCCGCGGUAAUACCGGCGGCUCGAGUGGUGGCCGAUAUUAUUGAGUCUAAAGGGUCCGUAGCCGGCUUUGCAAGUCCCCUGGGAAAUCCAGCGGCUUAACCGUUGGGCUUUCAUGGGAUACUACAUUGCUUGGGACUGGGAGAGGUAGGAGGUACUCGGGGGGUAGGGGUGAAAUCCUGUAAUCCUCCGGGGACCACCGGUGGCGAAGGCGUCCUACCAGAACAGGUCCGACGGUGAGGGACGAAAGCUAGGGGCACGAACCGGAUUAGAUACCCGGGUAGUCCUAGCCGUAAACGAUGCCCGCUAGGUGUCACGACGGUCGUGAAUCGUCGUGGUGCCGUAGGGAAGCCGCGAAGCGGGCCACUUGGGAAGUACGGCCGCAAGGCUGAAACUUAAAGGAAUUGGCGGGGGAGCAC
rnacentral:rRNA from 1 species